rnacentral:rRNA from 1 species
UACGGAGGGGGCUAGCGUUGUUCGGAAUUACUGGGCGUAAAGCGCACGUAGGCGGCUUUGCAAGUUAGAGGUGAAAGCCCGGGGCUCAACUCCGGAAUUGCCUUUAAAACUGCAUCGCUAGAAUUGUGGAGAGGUAAGUGGAAUUCCGAGUGUAGAGGUGAAAUUCGUAGAUAUUCGGAAGAAACACCAGUGGCGAAGGCGGCUCACUGGACUGGUAUUGACGCUGAGGUGCGAAAGCGUGGGGAGCAAACAGGG